UACGUAGGGGGCAAGCGUUGUCCGGAAUCAUUGGGCGUAAAGCGCGUGUAGGCGGUUCAGCAAGUCUGCUGUGAAAGUCCAGGGCUCAACCCUGGGAUGCCGGUGGAUACUGCUGGGCUAGAGUACGGAAGAGGCGAGUGGAAUUCCCGGUGUAGCGGUGAAAUGCGCAGAUAUCGGGAGGAACACCAAUUGCGAAGGCAGCUCGCUGGGACGUCACUGACGCUGAGACGCGAAAGCGUGGGGAGCAAACAGG
rnacentral:rRNA from 1 species